GAAACCUGGUUGAUCCUGCCAGUAGUCAUAUGCUUGUCUCAAAGAUUAAGCCAUGCAUGUCUAAGUAUAAACAAUUCUGUACUGUGAAACUGCGAAUGGCUCAUUAAAUCAGUUAUAGUUUCUUUGAUAAUACCUUACUACUUGGAUAACCGUGGUAAUUCUAGAGCUAAUACAUGCACAAAAACCCGACUUCU
rnacentral:rRNA from 1 species